CUUGUGACGAACUCAAUGGGGGCGAUGGGUCUUCUUUUCCCAUCGUCCCUCGACGCCAGGAUCCCACGGGCGCCUGGAGCGCUCGGGGCAUUCUCGGCGGCACAACGAACCCCGGCGCGGAAUGCGCCAAGGAACUUGAACAAGAGAGCGAUGCUCCCACCACCCCAGACAUGGUGCGUGCGCGGGAUGCCAUGCAAUCUCCCAUUAUUCA
rnacentral:misc_RNA from 1 species